GGGAAAUCUUACCGGGUCCGGACACACUGAGGAUUGACAGGUGUUUCGUUUUGAUGUUGGCAUUUAUCUAUAUAUAUAUUGUUUUAUUUUUACAUUAUGUAUGUACAUAAUGUUAUACAUUACAAAACAUUUCAAAUAUGCUAGUCCUUUCAUGAUUGUGUGAUAGGUGGUGCAUGGCCGUUCUUAGUUUGUGGAGUGAUCUGUCUGCUUAAUUGCGUUUCACUUAUGGCCACGGGUGUUUUAUACUAUUACUGUGGAUCUCAUCUGUUUUUUUUUAAAACGAUGACUGGUCCCGUAUGGUAUGCACUUGUGAAAGCCUCGAAGGCAACGAAC
rnacentral:rRNA from 1 species